GACGAGGGGUCCUAGCGUUGUUCGGAAUCACUGGGCGUAAAGCGUAUGUAGGCGGCUUUCUAAGUCGGUCGUGAAAUCCCAUGGCUUAACCAUGGAAUUGCGUUCGAAACUGGAGAGCUUGAGUGUGGGAGAGAUUGGUAGAAUACCUGGUGUAGUGGUGAAAUACGUAGAUAUCAGGUGGAAUACCGGUGGCGAAGGCG
rnacentral:rRNA from 1 species